rnacentral:rRNA from 1 species
AUGAAAGAUAUGCAUAGCAUUGCUAGAUUUUCUUCUGAGAUAAUUCCUGAAUCUAGUACAACUGAUGAAUAUUUCGAACAAUCACAUGAGGAAGUCCUUGAGAAGGAUAACAAUGAAGUUCCUAGAAGGAACAAGAGACAAAGGAUUGCAAAAUCCUUUGGUGAUGAUUUCAUUGUAUACCUUCUGGACGACACACCCAAGACGAUUGCAGAAGCAUAUGCAUCUCCGGAUGUAGAUGAUUGGAAAGAAGCUGUUCAUAAUGAGAUGGACUCAAUUCUUUCUAAUGGAACUUGGGAACUAACUGAUAGACCAUAUGGUUGUAAACCUGUGGGCUGUAAGUGGGUGUUCAAAAAGAAGCUAAAGCCUGAUGGUACUAUUGAUAAGUACAAGGCGCGGCUAGUGGCCAAGGGCUACACUCAGAAAGAAGGCGAAGAUUACUUUGACACCUAUUCACCCGUUGCUAGAAUGACCACCAUUCGAGUGUUACUUUCCUUGGCUGCCUCUUAUGGUCUUAUCAUUCAUCAAAUGGAUGUAAAGACAGCUUUUCUCAAUGGAGAGUUGGAAGAGGAGAUCUAUAUGGAUCAGCCUGACGGGUUUGUGGUAAAGGGUGAAGAAAGAAAGGUUUGCAAGUUGUUAAAAUCUUUGUAUGGUCUGAAACAGGCACCUAAGCAAUGGCAUGAGAAGUUUGAAAGAACUUUGACUUCUGCAGGAUUUGUCAUUAACGAGGCUGAUAGGUGUGUUUACUAUCGCCAUGGUGGGGGCAAUAGUGUCAUAUUAUGUUUGUAUGUGGACGACAUACUGAUCUUUGGUACAAACAUUAAUGCAAUUAAUGAGGUCAAGUCUUUUCUAUCAAAAAGUUUUGACAUGAAAGAUCUGGGAGAAGCCGAUGUAAUUCUAAACAUCAAACUUAUUAAGGAUGAGAGUGGGAUUACAUUAACUCAAUCUCACUAUGUUGAGAAGGUCUUGAAUCGAUUCGGUUUUAUGGAUAGCAAGCCUUCUCCAACACCUUAUGAUCCCAGCGUGACACUCAGAAAGAACAAGAAAGAAACGAGAGAUCAAUUAAGAUACUCUCAAAUUGUCGGUUCACUCAUGUACUUAGCUAGCACUACAAGACCAGAUAUCUCUUUUGUUGUGAGCAAACUGAGUAGGUUCAUGUCCAACCCGGGUGAUGAUCAUUGGCAUGCACUAGAAAGGGUCUUGCGCUAUCUGAGAGGUACUAUGAGUUACGGAAUUACUUAUUCAGGGCAUCCUGCUAUGCUAGAAGGAUAUAGUGAUUCAAAUUGGAUCUCCGAUGUUGAUGUACUUUACGCAACAAGUGGGUAUGUAUUUACUCAUGGUGGUGGCGCAGUGUCAUGGAGGUCUUGCAAGCAAACCAUAUUGACGAGGUCAACUAUGGAAGCAGAAUUAACUGCUUUGGACACAGCUACUAUUGAGGCAGAAUGGCUGCGUGAGCUCUUGAUGGACUUGCCGGUUGUUGAAAAACCUGUAACGGAUAUUCUUAUGAAUUGUGAUAACCAAACGGUUAUCGCUAAAGUGAACAAUUCUAAAGAUAAUGCAAAGUCAUCAAGACACGUGAAAAGACGUUUGAAGUCUGUCAGGAAGUUGAGAAACUCCGGAGUAAUAACUGUUACGUAUAUACAAACAGACAAAAACCUGGCAGAUCCCUUUACAAAGGGACUAUCA